GCUCGUACGAAAUCGUACGAUUAGUUCAUCGCAUGUAACACAGCCCUGUGUUGCAGGGAUUUCGUGCUAAUUAAUACGAAUAGAUUAAAUCGUACUAUACCAUACGAUUUUGUUCAUCGCAUUCAAGAAGCGUGACCCGUAGCCAGAAAAAAACUCUGGGUGUGCAUCUGAAAAUCUGCGUGUGUCACAGGCAAGAUAAGCAGAAACGCUGGGGAAUUCAGGUGCUGUAAAUCCGGUGGACAGGACUCAUCUCGUUAUAGAUCAAGAUAAUUUAUAAAGAUCUUUAAACGAAGGAUUGGAGUAUCAGAUAGUUGACAUGGUGUGCUACUGUGGGUGGCUCCGCCCCUGCCGUGACCCAAAUCUCGUUCGCACAUCAUCGCGAUAUGUAUCAUCUGUUUACAAACGUCGCCACUCGUUUCUUCACAUACAUCUCAUGCUCCUCCAUCUACACGCUCCACAACAUUUAAACCAACGGCUCUUUUAAGAGCCAUCACUUGCAAAAGCUCUCGUACUCGCUCUCCUACUCACUCACUCACUCUCCAACUCACUCUCCUACUAACUCACCCACUCUCCAACUCACUCACUCUUCUAUAGGGCUGUGCAAAAUAAUCGUCUGCAAUUCUCAUGCGUGU